rnacentral:rRNA from 1 species
UACGUAGGGGGCGAGCGUUGUCCGGAGUACUGGGCGUAAAGCGCACGCAGGCGGUCUGCUAAGUUUUGGGAGUGACAGUUGGGUGGUCUUAACUCGCCAAAAGUGCUUCGAAAAACUGACAGACUUGAGGGCUUCAGAGGGACACGGAAUUCCGGGUGGAGCGGUGAAAUGCGUAGAGAUCGGAAGAACACCAAAGGCGA